rnacentral:rRNA from 1 species
GACGAACGCUGGCGGUGUGCUUAACACAUGCAAGUUGAACGGAAAGGCCCUGCUUUUGUGGGGUGCUCGAGUGGCGAACGGGUGAGUAACACGUGAGUAACCUGCCCUUGACUUUGGGAUAACUUCAGGAAACUGGGGCUAAUACCGGAUAGGAGCUCCUGCUGCAUGGUGGGGGUUGGAAAGUUUCGGCGGUUGGGGAUGGACUCGCGGCUUAUCAGCUUGUUGGUGGGGUAGUGGCUUACCAAGGCUUUGACGGGUAGCCGGCCUGAGAGGGUGACCGGCCACAUUGGGACUGAGAUACGGCCCAGACUCCUACGGGAGGCAGCAGUGGGGAAUAUUGCACAAUGGGCGGAAGCCUGAUGCAGCAACGCCGCGUGCGGGAUGACGACCUUCGGGUUGUAAACCGCUUUCGCCUGUGACGAAGCGUGAGUGACGGUAAUGGGUAAAGAAGCACCGGCUAACUACGUG